rnacentral:rRNA from 1 species
CGCCUACGGGACGCAGCAGUGGGGAAUAUUGCACAAUGGGGGAAACCCUGAUGCAGCGACGCCGCGUGAGCGAAGAAGUGUUUCGGUAUGUAAAGCUCUAUCAGCAGGGAAGAAAAUGACGGUACCUGAGUAAGAAGCACCGGCUAAAUACGUGCCAGCAGCCGCGGUAAUACGUAUGGUGCAAGCGUUAUCCGGAUUUACUGGGUGUAAAGGGAGCGUAGGCGGCAAGGUAAGCCAGAAGUGAAAGCCCGCGGCUCAAUUGCGGGACUGCUUUUGGAACUAUCUAGCUAGAUUGCAGGAGAGGG